rnacentral:rRNA from 1 species
AUGCUUGACAAGGAUUUGUGCCAGAAAAAACAUAUCUGCAUCAGCACUAGACGUACUAGAAAAUUAGAGUAUGAGAUGAUCAUGCAACGGUACAUAUACUGUAUAGAAUAUGCAUAUUUGAUGACUGUUUCUUUGUUUAUACGAACUGAACAUGCUAACACCCAUGAUCUUGCAUCACAGAUUGAGCAUGAAUUCGAUAUUGGCAAUGAUCAAGGGAGUCAUGAUAUGGAAAUCCAUCCUCCUCCGAUCAAUCUAGACAACUUCAGUACACCAAAAAAGAGAGCUACAAGUGGCCCAUUCUGUGUGAGUAUCAUUAUCACCAUAAUUUCGGUCAGAUUUCUCUAA